GAUGAACGCUAGCUACAGGCUUAACACAUGCAAGUCGAGGGGCAGCAUGAACUUAGCUUGCUAAGUUUGAUGGCGACCGGCGCACGGGUGAGUAACACGUAUCCAACCUUCCGUUUACUCAGGGAUAGCCUUUCGAAAGAAAGAUUAAUACCUGAUAGUAUGGUGAGAUUGCAUGAUAGCACCAUUAAAGAUUUAUUGGUAAACGAUGGGGAUGCGUUCCAUUAGGUAGUAGGCGGGGUAACGGCCCACCUAGCCGACGAUGGAUAGGGGUUCUGAGAGGAAGGUCCCCCACAUUGGAACUGAGACACGGGUCCAAACUCCUACGGGAGGCAGCAGUGAGGAACUAUUGGUCAAAUGGGCGAGAGCC
rnacentral:rRNA from 1 species